CUGCAAAGGAAACAAACAUUCAAACCUCCGAAUGGCGUGGGUCUUCUCUAGGGUGUGUGCCUGUCAACAAGUCACCAGUUCUGGAAGAGCUAAGGGGAAUGUGUGAGUUGCAGGGAGCCCACGGAGGGCUUUUCCUGGAGAAGGCUGUUUACCAGGAGGCGCGUGCUUGCUUCCAGGAAGAGAAAACCCUGUUACACAGAGGAUGAAUUGAUUUAUGCAGACAGUUUAAAGGGUGUUCGCAGCUCUGAGGAAUGCAAGCGGCAGCAUGAUUUGAAGAGAUAACUACUAACCUGAGCUCAGAGUUUAUCAUUCCGGUUCAUUGAACAAAAGAGUCAUGGGACCAAAGAGAUGGCUCAGCAGUCUCUGCUGGCAAAUCUGCUGUCUAGACAUCCAAGUUUCUCUUGAUGAACGUUGUUUGCUCCGACUUCUUCUCCAGCAUAAACAAGGUUGGCAUGAACUCCCCUGUCGUGUCUUACUAUGCUCAUGAAAAACCUUUCACUCAGGACUGGAAAGAUUUUGGAAUUUCAGGCACAAAAGCCUCUACUUAAUAUUUUUUGAUGCAAGAUUCGAUCACAGCCAGGCCAUUUCUUUGGUUUUUUUCAACCUGUUAAACAUGUACACAGUGAUUUCCACCACUCUCACCAGAAAUGCUCUGAAGAAGGACAAUUCGGUUCUAAAUAAAAGCACUUUUUGAUCAUC
rnacentral:lncRNA from 1 species